GUACUCACUUCAGCAGCACAUAUACUAAAAUCGGAACGAUACAGAGAAGAUUAGCAUGGCUCCUGGGCAAGGAUGGCAUGCAAAUUUGUGAAAUAUCUAUAUCCUUU
ensembl:snRNA U6 U6 spliceosomal RNA